AUAAUUUGGUAUUUAAAUAGGCAAGACUUUGGAAAUUAUUUGUGAAGUAUUGUUGCACAUUUUUAGAUAAGGAGGAGCAUUACAUCUAUGAAAAUAUUCUGUGACAUUGAUCAUGCUUUAUUUUUAAAGAAAUUGAUCAAAUACUCAAUUUCAGUUAGAUAACUACAAGUUCACAAAGAGUUGCCCAUUAAAUCAUGCCAACUAUGAAAAUGCUAUGGUAAAUUGCAAAGUGGAAUAUAAAUAUGACACUCCUUAUAAAUGUCUAUUGCCUAAUUAUCAUCUGAACUUUGUCAUAGUGAGACAACAUUAAACAGGAAAGUUUUACCUGACCUGUAGUUAAAUAUUAGCUAGCUUUAGAUUAAAAAUACAGGCAAAAUAAAUAGACUUUUACUUUGAUCACAAAAUGGGGCAUUUGAAUAAGUGAAAUCUAAACUGUGCAAUUAGACUGUUUCACACAGAAGGAGCAUAGAAACAGUGGAUAACAGUAGACAAAGUGGUAAUUCCCUGGAUACGUGCAAAGAAUAUGGGGAAAAAAAAGAAUAAAACUUGCCAGAAGGAACCUCAUAUACAUGGGCAGGUAUAUAUACAACAGUAUUUUUAAUCUGAAUGAACCUGGGAGAGAACUAAGGAAAGAAAACAAAGUAUUUGUUCAUGGUUGGAGAAACUUUAUUUGGCUGACAAUAAAGACUUGUGACUGGACAUCAUUUGCUCUGAACCAGUACCUGACCACAGACUCACAGUGCACUCUGCAUCUUAAAUGCAAACUGACUCCAAGCAUUCAAGACUAACUCAGGAUGCAAGAAAAGGUAAGUUUGGCUUAAAAAAACAAACAAAUGAACAAACAAAAAAAGAGAAAAAAAAGGUUAUUGUUUCUUUUGUUUGCUAAUCUUUUUGGAAGUCUAUACAGUGAACUUUUCACUAUUGAUAAGUUUAACUACAUUUACCUGUCAAAAUGCAUCUGGUGUUCUGACAUUUUAAAGCUCUUUCCAUUUAAUAGAGCUCAAGAUUGACCCAUUUCCCAUUUUUCUUUCCAUUUUGUAUUUUACCAAUGGGGAUUUCACAUUUUUCAUUUUAUAAAAAUCCAUGUAUUUAAGUAGAAAGAUAAGGCUUUAAUAAAUUAAAAAAAAUUAUAGGGAAAGUGUAUUGA
rnacentral:lncRNA from 1 species